UGGGGAAUUUUGGACAAUGGGCGAAAGCCUGAUCCAGCAAUGCCGCGUGUGUGAAGAAGGCCUUCGGGUUGUAAAGCACUUUUGUCCGGAAAGAAAUCCUUGGCUCUAAUACAGUCGGGGGAUGACGGUACCGGAAGAAUAAGCACCGGCUAACUACGUGCCAGCAGCCGCGGUAAUACGUAGGGUGCAAGCGUUAAUCGGAAUUACUGGGCGUAAAGCGUGCGCAGGCGGUUUGCUAAGACCGAUGUGAAAUCCCCGGGCUCAACCUGGGAACUGCAUUGGUGACUGGCAGGCUAGAGUAUGGCAGAGGGGGGUAGAAUUCCACGUGUAGCAGUGAAAUGCGUAGAGAUGUGGAGGAAUACCGAUGGCGAAGGCAGCCCCCUGGGCCAAUACUGACGCUCAUGCACGAAAGCGUGGGGAGCAAACAGGAUUAGAUACCCUGGUAGUCCACGCCCUAAACGAUGUCAACUAGUUGUUGGGGAUUCAUUUCUUUAGUAACGUAGCUAACGCGUGAAGUUGACCGCCUGGGGAGUACGGUCGCAAGAUUAAAACUUAAAGGAAUUGACGGGGUCAUAGCUGUUUCCU
rnacentral:rRNA from 1 species